CCUACGGGGGGCUGCAGUGGGGAAUAUUGGACAAUGGGGGCAACCCUGAUCCAGCCAUGCCGCGUGUGUGAAGAAGGCCCUCGGGUUGUAAAGCACUUUCAGUGAGGAAGAACGCCUGGUGGUUAAUACCCAUCAGGAAAGACAUCACUCACAGAAGAAGCACCGGCUAACUCCGUGCCAGCAGCCGCGGUAAUACGGAGGGUGCGAGCGUUAAUCGGAAUUACUGGGCGUAAAGCGCGCGUAGGUGGCUUGAUAAGCCGGUUGUGAAAGCCCCGGGCUCAACCUGGGAACGGCAUCCGGAACUGUCAAGCUAGAGUGCAGGAGAGGAAGGUAGAAUUCCCGGUGUAUCGGUGAAAUGCGUAGAGUUCGGGAGGAAUACCAAUGGCGAAGGCGGCCUUCUGGACUGACACUGACAAUGGGGUGCGGAAGCGUGGGUAGCACACAGGAUUAGAUACCCUAGUAGUA
rnacentral:rRNA from 1 species